GAGCCAAGAGCCAUGGAGAGACUGUUGCACUUCUCCAAACUUUUCACUCCACGCCACCCAGCAGGUUUGAGCACCGCCUUCCAAAUAAACCUGGUCUAGAGCAGGCAACAUUGGUCCCAGGGCUGGACGGAGGCCACCGUCUGCUCAUCGCUGAUUCCCAAGGCCUGAGAGAGGGGCUGGAGGACGACGAACACCAAAUUAAUCUGGGCACUGGGCUCCAGGGAAGGGCCUGAGCUCCAAGGUCAAUACCAAAGCACUGUAUCUUCAUGAUGCUUUUCAAGCGUUUUCUUCAGCCUGCGGGUUGAGGACUUUAAGCCAGUUAGGGAUCAUCUUAAAGUUUAAAGAGGAGGCUAUAGAUUUCCACAUUAAGGACACUCAGGAGGAUCACCCAAGCUCGGAACCCACAGGAUCAAGUCCUGCUCAGGUAUUAAAAAAAAAAAAAAUCUACUUGCUGUAGAAUAAAACUUUAAGGAAUCCUGUGGCGUCCUCCGAGGACAUUUCUGAUGAUGCCAGGAGUUGUAUUAACACCCAAGAGCAGAGAACCGUGUGAAACCAAAUACAUGACUUGGGUUUUCAAAGGAGGUCAGAGCACUCAAAAUACAUACAUUUAAAGCCAACUGAUGGUUUCUAAAUACCUCCAGGAAGAUUCCGUUGUCUUUUUCUUUCUCAACAGGCAAGACAGUAAGAGUCCAGUGGAGGGCUUCCCUGGUGGCGCAGUCGUUGGGAGUCCGCCUGCCGGUGCAGGGGACGCGGGUUCGUGCCCCGGUCCGGGAGGGUCCCGCAUGCCGCGGAGCGGCUGGGCCCGUGAGCCGUGGCCACUGAGCCUGCGUGUCCGGAGCCUGUGCUCCGCAACGGGAGAGGCCACAACAGUGAGAGGCCCGUGUACCGCAAAAAAAAAAAAAAAAAAAAAAAAAAAAAAAAAAUAGGCCUCCUCCUUCGGGAGGCCAACAGAGGUGAGAAGUGCAGAGGGAAACGCCAACGGGAGGCCCUGAGAUCUACCCCAACCCGGUCAGAGUCUCCAGCGCUGCCGGGGCUCCUGGACAGACUCUGGUUCUGACAUCUUCACCGGGAAGUAGCUUUAAAGGAGCGUGUGCUUACAAGCUGUGCUGCUGAACCCCCAUUACUCUGCUAUCUUGUCUAACCUAGUGAUGCCACAAGACUCUUUCAAAAAACUGUUACCAUGGGAACUUUUCUCUCUCAAGCAUUUUUCAAGAAAUGUUACAGGUGCUGCAGAAUUCAAUGCCCUUGGUCUCAGUAAGCAUUUUCUGAGUCUUUGAACGUGUGGCUUCAACCGAGAGGACUUUCAAACCCAUGAUGCAAGGGUUUUGAACACAAAUCUCUUCAAGGGAUGGGGUUAAUCACACAGGGCAUGGGUGCUAUGAUGGCCCGAGGCCCCACUAGGCACGCAAAUUCUGAACCACAGGGCCUUUAACGCAGCCUAUCCGCUAAACAGAAGACCCCAUAGGGAUAUAAGCAGCUCAGAGGGUGACCCCAAUAAGGGAUGCUGUGGCUAUCAUCCCUACCAUGGGAUUUCCCUUCUCAUCAGAACUGGGAGGUGGUCAACAGCACAACAAGGCAGCCAUCCAGGCAGGGCAAGAGCCACCAUCCACCACUGAACCCCUGGUCCUAGGUCAGCACAUCAGCUCAUCUCUCAACUGAGCCCUAUUAGCCCAAGCCUUCUCCUCUUCUAAAUUCCUGUGAUGAAAACACCAUCGACCUUCUAUAAUAUAAACAGCGCAGAUCUGGUAGGAACCAAUACAUCUUCCUGUCCCGACGUGGCAAUGUUGCCAGGUAACAAUGUAGAAAUACACUCAGAAAACUGUAUGUGACAAUAUACAACCUCCGCUCCGCAGCUGAUAACCGAGGGAGUGUUAAAACACCAUGUUCUCUGAACACUUGGGCUCUUGGUGCGAAAAGAAAAUUAAACGGGAUAUUUCCUCUUGUAAAUAUAAGACAGGCAUACGACUCACACAUGCAGCCACUAACUGCGAACAGUAGAGGGGUUUGCCGCAGCCAUCUGCAAUGCACCCCAGCUUUCACUCUCCUGCCCCUCCACUCCCCCCCAACAUGGAUUCCAGAAAACUAAGAGAAACGUAACUAAGCACGAGCCUCUCCUGUGUUAGGGACAAGUUCACCUCUGACCAGAGAAAGGACACCAGUGGCAACUACAGAAAAACUCAUACCUUAUUAUAAAACUGGGCGUGCUUCCAUCGUGUGGUUCCUAAGUUGACUUAGAGAAUUCACUGCAUGACCAAGCAGUGACCACUUGCUUCUCAGAUCAAAUAACUAGCGCUGCCUACCCGCUCCCAACAAUGACGAGGAAGAUGCAAAGCCACCACAGUGGAUGUAGGGCACUGAUUAACUCCCUGGCAUUGGACCCAUGCAACUUCAAGGCUGUCCAGCACGGUAGAAAGUCAAGAGGUUUUUGAGGGAGAUAGACCCGGGUACCGAAUCUCAGCUCUGCUAAGUGGGUGACUUUGCGUAAGACCUCCCUCGAUCUUUUGGGACUCAGUUUUCUUAUCCAGAAUUGGGGUUAUCCUACCUCGCCCAGAUCAAGUACACAGCAGCACCACGCGCUGUGCCUGCCCUGCAAUGGGCACUUUAUAAAGGCAACAAGUCCUUUCCUUUUCCUUCUGCAACACAUAAACAUUCUUCAACCUGCCCAAGACUCGAAUAUGGGGAGAAUCCAGGGCAUGGAGCUUCCUCAUGCAAAAUGGGCAAAAGAUGAGCUCUAAUAAGCCUCACAUUACACCGAAGUACAUAUGCUCCUUUAGAUGCAAGUGAAAAUCAAAACUUGUAGCAAUAUAAUCUAACUUUUCUUAAGAGCCCUAAUUCAAUGAGCUGCCCUCUGUCUCCACGGAGAGGAAGUUAUGCAAGAGACCUUCCUUCCCAUUAACUUUCAUGGACCUGAGACCCUGGAACCCGCUAGAGGGGAAGCAGCAUGUGUGGCACAUAUAACUUUUAUUUGGCAAAUGAGAUGCCCAGCCUGAAAGGUAAAGUCUUUCGUGGUUCUCUUCUCUGUCAUGCACAGGCCGGUGAUGUAACCAAAGCAAAGACACACAAGCCAUCUCAGGACUUCUCUGGAAGGCAGACUGCCCUCCACAAUGAGCCCACUAACAAAAAGAAGAACAAAGAGAGAGAAGCCACACAUUCUGCAGAGGGGCUGAGAGCUCAGGCUCUUCUCUGUAUUUAUUCAUUACGUAGAGAUCGAGUUACCUUUACCCAACACAUGCAGAGACUUCCCUGGGGAACGUGGGGUUGAAACAAACCCUGAUACAACUACCAGCUAGCUCUGUGACACUAAGCAAGCAACUUGACCUCUCAGAUCCCCUAUUUCCCGCUGAGCAGAAAGGGGUCCAGGCGGUACCUGCCCACACAGGACCACCACGCAGAGUAAAUGAGAUGGUGCAGAGAAAGCACCAAGCCUCGCUCCUGGCACGUGAGCGUUCAGACUCUGGUACUCAUCAUUAUUACCACCAACUAUAGUUACUAUAAAGAAGAAAAGAAGAAGGAAGAGCUCCAUCGAGAAUCUCUGGCAUCACAAGGAGAUUCCUCCAAAUUGACAUUAUAUAUUUCCCUUGGGUUCAGAUAAACUUAACUCCUUCUCUCACCUAAAGAAAGUGCCUCUUUAAAAUUGUGAUAACCGUUCACAACACAUUUCACAUCCUCAUGUUUAUAUUGGGAAAAGAACAAGAUGACGAACGUAACAUGGUGGCGACAUACGGUCCAGACUUUGAUUCAUUCAGGGAACAUUUAUUGAGCACCCACCAUGGUCCAGGUGCUGGGAAGCAAGACUGAGGCUUGACCCUGGGAGAAAUUACACUCUUGGGUGGGGGGAGGAGAGGAAGACAUACAACCAAAAAGAAACUGUGAGCAAUGACUACAUAUUAGGCACCAUUCUGAGCUGCUGUGUGCUUUCCAUAUAUUAUCUCAUUUAAUCCCCAGAGGAGCCCUACAGAGCAGGAUUCUCUACGUGUAUUUGCUACGUACAGAUUGACUUCCCUUCAUCCAACACAUGCAGAGACUUCUCUGGGGAGCCUGGGGGUGAAGACAGACUUGAUCUCUGCCUCCUUGGGUCUUACAAUGAGCCUCCAUUUCAAGAGUGAUGAUUGCUGAGUCAAUGAACUGCCCAGACAAAGAGACCACUACUUCUGCCUCAGGGGAUCAACAAGUUUCCAGAGCAGGAGGCAAUUUAAACAGAGCUCAGGGAGCGUGCCAGGCAAAGGGAAAGCGGCACGUCCCACACGGAGCAGAGGCAUCUGAGUACAUGGCCAGGGCCGGGCAAACGAGCAGGUUGCAGCCACAGGACAAUGAACGCGGGGGUGAGCGUGGGAACCCAGGCAGGGCCAGGCACGUGGGCACCAGUGGAUCGCAGCAACAGGGCAGUGGAUUUGAUCUUCCGCGGAAGGCUGUUAGGACAGGGAAUGAGGUGGUCCGGCCUUCAUCUGGCGGGGCGGGGUGGGGUGGGCAUCACUGACAGCAGUAUGGAAGAGAGAAAUGUCCGGAGGCAGGGAGGCCUUGAAGAGCCCAUCUCAGGCUCAGAACUCAGAUGGCCCGUUCUGGCAGAUGGUAUAGGAUGCUGGUCAGGGGCAGGAAUUCUGAAGCCAGGGCGCCUCGUUUCCAACCCCAGCUCCCCCAGCCCCAGCCGGGUCACUUUAGGCAUGUCAUGUAGCCUCCAGGUGUCAACUGUCUGGCUCAUUACAAGUCUGAACUAAGUCCUGACUAUUAGAAUACUGGGAGGUAGAGGAGACGCAGAAUGAGUUCCUGAUGAAAAUCAAGAGGGAGGAGUUGAUGACAUCAAGGUUUCCAGCUCGGGUGACUGCACAGGUGGCGGUGGGAAGUCCACUGACCUAGAUACAGAACACAAGAAGGCCAAUGCGGUGGAGGACUGGAGGUGAUGGGCACGCCUGGGGUCGCGUGAACUGAGAGUUAACGCAGGUGGAGAUGCCCAACAGGGAUCUGCGCAGAAAUCUGGAGAUGAUCACAGAGGUAGGGCCAGGAGCUGUUGGCAUAAAUGGUAGCUGGGAACCAUGGGGAUGGGUGAGGUCACCCAGGGAGCUUGGAGAAAAAGAUGACAAAUAGGCUGGAGACCAGGCGCCAGCAUCUCACAUAUUUGAAGGUGAACUGUAUGUGUGCCAAGGAGUCCCUUGUUCACCACGAGGAAAACCUCCAGAGGAAGCACAGAAAUAGCACAGCGUCAGGCCAUCAGGAAGUGACGGACGUAAAGUGUGGCACCCUGGGGUGGACGGUCAGACAAGGCUUCCAGAUGAAAACUCUGGACUCCUGAGCCGUGUAUACAGAUCCCCUCGGGAAGGAGCUGCCCGAGGCUGCCUUCCAAAUCUGCGUUAAAAAGUGCUAAGCAGGGCGAUGGAAUACAUUCCCGCAGAGGCAGUAAAGGGAAAGGGGAGAUCAGCCCUCCAAUCAAGAAAGGAAAGAAAAAGUAGAGGCCUCUCGCUCCCUGAAUUUCCAUUUAUAAGCUGAGUAAGUGGCCAGACUCUCAGGGGACUCAGGGUAUUAGUCAUCUGGUGAAUAUUUACCACAAACCUAUCACUGCUCUCUACCGGGGGUGAAGAAGACAGAACAGAGGGAUUAAGACUCGGUUCUUUUCCUUAAGCCGCUUCCUAUCUCGACAGCAAAGAUUCAACAAACACAGGGGCUGGCAGAGGUUUUCCAUAAAGGUCCAAAUGGUAAAUAUUCUAGGAUUUGCCGGCCGUUCGGUCUGCGGUACAACCCCUCAGCUCUGCCCCAGCAGCGUGAGAACAGCCAAAGGCAACACUAAAGGUUAUUGUAAGGCUGGCUGUGUUCCAGUAAAACUUUAUUUACAAAAGCAGGCGUCGGGCUGGAUUCGACCCACUGGCCAUAGUUUGCCAAUCCCUGGACCAAGGUAUCAUAAGCCAACAGAGGAGAAUCUUGGGUCAGCUUAGAAGUUCAUAAGAGGCACUCCAUCCUCAGAAGUCACUAAGGAAAGUUAGGAAGAACACGGACCUCUUGCUAGAGCUGAAGGAAGAGAAAGAAAGAAGGACCAUCUAGACUUGUGGAUUUAAUAGGAUACAAUGAAGGCAUAGUGACAACAAUUUUCCAGUCUUCUCUGACAUUUUUUUUUGUUCCUCAGUCAAAUUUUGGAGAUCAUGGAAAACCCGAGGUUUCCUCUGAAGAUAUCUCUUCUUAGAAACUAAUUCCUGCUUAUGGGUUUUCUAGGAAGCAAGAAGAUGAACACUUUGUAUCCAAAGAUCUCCCCCCAACUCCCUAACGACCGCAGUCCUGUUAGGGAAGGCCAGAAGAGCACAUGUAUGGAACCGUCCACUUCUGCCUACAGUGUUGGCUCUGCUACUCAGGAAAGAAGAAAAGUAACAUUGGGUCUCCAGGUCCUCUACAGGCACGAGCCGGUGGGCACAUCUUCCCCUCGGACCACCGCAACAGGACUGUGCUUCUCAAACCCAAGUGACAAAGAACACGCUGACCACCUUUGCAGUCAUGUUCUGUCCUCAACUGCAGUAGGUCCGUGCCUCAUCCAGGGCUCCCAUCACUUGGACAGCUGGGGGCGUUCAUUCAAGUCUUAUGUUCCCAACAAUGGGAACUACUUUUGGAUUUUGAGUCUUCACUGCAAAACCUUGGUCUAGACCCAUAAUCCUAAAAGACUCUUGUUCAGUGACACACCAGUUUCCUGGGGAUGGAGAGGAAGGGCCUAUGUCCAAGGAUGACUUAGACCAAAAAGUAAGAAUAAAAAUAAUAAUACAGAGAAGGAAAGAAAAAGUCCUGGGUCAGGGAGCAGGUAACUGGACUGCCUGUUGCUUUCUGCUUCGCCCAGAAUGUCCGGCAGCAUAAAAAACCAGUACCCGAAGCAAUGAAGCCUCCCACCCUCCUGGACCUCUGAUGUUAGCUCAAAUACAGAAAGAGUGAGAGGGACUUAGGUGAACAGUGUGUGAAAACAACAUACGACAGCACGCCCCCCAGGCCCACUGGAUCAUCAACCACUAGACAGAAGCAAAUUAUCAGAAGUUGGAUUUUUGACGGAGAACAAAUGGAAGAAAACAAAGCUCAUUUUUAAAUAAUAAAGACUGUGUUAACACAAAAAAUCA